UACGUAGGGGGCAAGCGUUGUCCGGAUUUAUUGGUCGUAAAGAGCUCGUAGGUGGUUCGGUAAGUCGGAUGUGAAAUCUCCAGGCUCAACCUGGAGGGGUCAUUCGAUACUGCCGUGACUAGAGGUCGGUAGGGGAGUGUGGAAUUCCUGGUGGAGCGGUGAAAUGCGCAGAUAUCAGGAGGAACACCCGUAGCGAAGGCGGCCAGCUGGGCCGUCCCUGACGCUGAGGCGCGAAGGCGUGGGGAGCGAACGGG
rnacentral:rRNA from 1 species